GGACCCGGCCUGAGGAGCAGGGCGGCCGGAAAGGAGAGUUUUUCAAGGAAUCUUGCCCACCAGAUUCUUCAGAGCUUCAUUAAUAAUGGCAAAAAAUUAAAACAACUUAACAUUCAACAAAUGGGAAUUGUUCAUAACAAUUAUAGAAGCACAUACAGUAGAAAACUAUAAACUGUUAUUGAAACGGCAGUGGGAAGUGGACAGAAGACCUGAUAGGAAAGAUAAAAAGAAGAGGAAAAGGAAAAUAAAAGUUUCCAGUUUGACAAUCACGCUGUCUUCUGCAUCCAUUUCAUCCCAAGACCACCAAGCCAGUGUGGAGGCUUUUUCCUCCUUUCCUUUUCGUGAGACUGAUCACAACCAGCACUGCAGAGUCCAUUAAAUGAAGAAAUGCUGUUGCAUACAUGUGUGAAUGAGCUGUGAGUAAAGUACUGGAGUAGAGGACACCUAACUUGAAACGUCCUCAUGAAUGUCCAUGUGGCUGAGCAGGAAGUUAACCUGUCGUAGAUGUGCUAAAUCAGAAUAGUUGGGUUUUAUUUUAUUUACUUUUCCCGGGACUCUGUUGAAUGACUGUCAGCUACAAGUUCAGGCUACUUUUUGCUGACGAUUAAUGCACUGGGAGAGCUGAGAGAAAACUGAAUAGUAGAGCUGUCUUUUUCUUGACCAGUUCACCUUACUUUCCCAAACUCAAAGUCUUUCCCUAUUUCUUUCUCCUUUUUAUUGUAGUAAAAUGAACAUAACAUAAAAUGCACCAUUUUGAUCAUUUUACAAUUCACUGUACAAUUCAGUGGAAUUUAGUACUGUCACAAUGCUGUGCAACUGUCACCACUGCCUAGUUGCAAAACAUUUUCAUCACCCCAAAAGGAAACCUACACCCAUUUUAAGCAGUCAUUCCCUAUUUCCCUCUCUUCCAAACCCCUGGCAACCACUACUGUAUAAUGUUUUCCGUGUGUAUGGAUUUGCCACUGCUGGACAUUUCGUAUAAAUGGAACCAUACAA